rnacentral:rRNA from 1 species
GUGCCAGCAGCCGCGGUAAUACGGGGGGGGCAAGCGUUGUUCGGAAUUACUGGGCGUAAAGGGCGCGUAGGCGGCCUGCUAAGUCGGACGUGAAAUCCCUCGGCUCAACCGGGGAACUGCGUCCGAUACUGGUGGGCUCGAAUCCGGGAGAGGGAUGUGGAAUUCCAGGUGUAGCGGUGAAAUGCGUAGAUAUCUGGAGGAACACCGGUGGCGAAGGCGGCAUCCUGGACCGGUAUUGACGCUGAUGCGCGAAAGCCAGGGGAGCAAACGGGAUUAGAAACCCGGGUAGUCC